AAUCGUACUUACCACGCGAUUGUUUUAAAGUGAGAUAAUGCAUACAAAGCACUUGGCACAGCAUUUGACACAGAGUAAGAAGGUGGUAUUUAUUGAGCUAUUACCUAACUAAUAAUGAUAGCAUUACUAGAGCUAAUAAUAUAAUAUUAGCAUUAUUUUUAUUUACCAGAAGUGUAUACUUCAGGCCCGCUCAGUCCAGUUCAGAUUCUAAAGCUUACACAGUGGGAGGGAGGGAGAGGCUUAUCUGGCAUAAUGCCCUUUCCUCAGAUUCUAGAAUAUUGGUAAUAACAGGCGUGGGUCCCGGCAUGUCAUUAGAAGAAAGCUGGCAGCAGCCUCACUCUUGUGUGCCUUUCCACCAUCUGAAGCAGAGACAAAGGACACUUAUCCAAAGAGAAAAAUUAGAUUAGGCAAUUUACCAAUUCAUGGAAUUCAUUCAGUUGUUUCUGUCCUUUCCUUUUCAAGUAGCUGUGUCCCUAUCUGCCUCCUACAGGCAGUACCUGGACAGGUCAGCCUGUGUGUCUGCAGAACUCUCUACUGCUGGGGGACCCUGUCCAGGAUCACUGGAUUGAUGUCACUGGAAGUGAAGUAGAAUUAUCAGAGGAAGAGAGGGCGUGAUUGGCAGCUGGGAGGGAGCAGCCAUCAGAGCUAUGCCUCUCUCAUGGAGCACCUGGAGAAAAGAAGAUUCUAGCUUUUCCAGCCCAUGAACAGCCCAGUGCUUAUCUUCCACUGCAUCCAAAAGGGAAGCUGGGGGUGUAGUGGAGGGUGGGCUUCUACUUUUUAAGAAAAUGCAUUUUUUUUUAUUAUAAAUGUAUUGCUUCCUUAGAAAUAAAAAGGUAUGAAAAUGUA
rnacentral:lncRNA from 1 species